rnacentral:sRNA from 1 species
GCCGGCCACCCCCGGGUCACCCUACAGAAAGAGAACCUUGUGUCAAGAGCCAACCAUGAUGGCGACGAAGCGGGGCGCAGGAUCUACGUUCAUUUGAGGGCUUGUCAGAAAGGACCCAGUGCCAGCUGCUGCAAGGAUCCUUCGGGAGGGACCAUUUACCUUCUCUCCCAUGAUGCCCUGUGGACCAGUUUCUCCUCGAGGCCCUGGCUCCCCCUGGGAGGAGAAAGGAAGGGAUUUGUUUCUCUGGACUCCAGACCACAUCCUGUUUCUAUCAAGCCAGGAUCAGGGCAAGGUGGUGGCAGAAGGUGGUUUGACCUAAGGGACUUGUGUCAAGCCUUAAGUAAGCACUGGGCCUCACAAUCCUUAAGGCAAGCUUCCUUUCUCACUCCCUGGUCCCCUUAUU